rnacentral:rRNA from 1 species
GAAUAUUGGACAAUGGGGGGAACCCUGAUCCAGCCAUGCCGCGUGUGUGAAGAAGGCCUUUUGGUUGUAAAGCACUUUAAGCGAGGAGGAGGCUACUCUAGUUAAUACAUAGAGAUAGUGGACGUUACUCGAAGAAUAAGCACCGGCUAACGCGGUGCCACCAGCCGCGGUAAUCCAGAGGGUGCAUGGGUUAAUCGGAUUUACUGGGCGUAAAGCGCGCGUAGGUGGCCAAUUAAGUCAAAUGUGAAAUCCCCGAGCUUAACUUGGGAAUUGCAUUCGAUACUGGUUGGCUAGAGUAUGGGAGAGGAUGGUAGAAUUCCAGGUGUAGCGGUGAAAUGCGUAGAGAUCUGGAGGAAUACCGAUGGCGAAGGCAGCCAUCUGGCCUAAUACUGACACUGAGGUGCGAAAGCAUGGGGAGCAAAC